rnacentral:rRNA from 1 species
CUUUGUGUCCAAACCUCUUUCACAAAGUCUGAUCUCGUCAGUUCUCAGAAGCUAAGCAGGGCUGGGCCUGGUUAGUGGUUGGGUAGGAGACCACCAGGAAAAACAGGUCCACACUGGGG